GCCUUCUUAGUGCAGCUGGCAGCACAUCAGUCUCAUAAUCUGAAGGUCCUGAGGUCAAGCCUCAGAAAAGGCA